AAUAUCUUGUAUGUUCUCAGUUUCUUGUUACUUCUUUCUUUUUUGUUUUCAUUUGCUUUCUAUUUUUUUGAGGUAGUUGGAAAGGUUGAAUAUGAGUAUUCAAGGCAGUUGAAUAGUUUUAUGGUUGUAAAGUAUUGAUGAUCGACUGGACAGUGGAUUUAUUGGUUUAAUGGGCAUUUUUAUUGCAAUUUAAUGGAUUUAAGGAGUACGA
rnacentral:ribozyme from 12 species